UUGAGAAUGCAUGCUACAAACUCAGAAUUAAAUAAAUUAUAUUCAAAACAAAGGUAACAUAUACUCACAGCACAGCACUUCCUAGUUGUUUUGCUGCACUUUACUAUUAUUGAUUCUUUUGGGGUCAUGGAUAUACCUGUUCUCCCCUGGAGAGCUGGUUGUGCAACAUUUACCAACACACCACUGAGCGGGUCUUUUGGUGAAAUAAUAGGCAGCAUGAGAGGCGACUGAUUUUAGUCAAAGAAAGAUGGGUUUGUCUAGCAAAAACCUCACUCAAAGAAACAUGGGAGGACCUGGAGAAUUCCAGUGGAUGCAGGGAAGAAAGGAAGAGGAGCCGGAAGAGAGAAAGGACCCUCUGAUGCUGACUCCAUAUGGGCAGAAGGGUGUCUCUCUGUGGAAAGUUAAAAAUAGCGGGAAAAAUAUACCAUGCCCCCAUGUGCUAGGAGUGUUUGUAACUAGCAAUUGCUUGUUUCUUCCUCAGGUACACACCUUAUACACCUUUAAAGGUCAGGGGCAUAAGACUGAGACCCACUGCCCCAUUUCCUCCCACGGUCUCAUGUCUAGAGGGUCCUAUGGAUACCCAGAGAUCUUCAUUCUGAACGGCACGCUAGGCCAGAUGGGGAACACGGAGGAAUGAAUGGCACUGCCUGGCCUUGAGAAGAGGGAGAAGACAAGCCUUCACAUGAGAUAAACAUGUGAGUACUGCAUCACUUCCUCCUCUCCAGGCCUCAGACCCCCGGCCCAGCACCCCAAUGACAUGGGAGGAGUUCUCAGUGGGCCCUUUCAGCUCCCACCAUCCCAGCCUGGAAAGCUCUCCUCUUCCUUCUAUCUGGACAAAGCUAUGAGGACCGGCCUAGGCACCUCCUCCUGCCACUCCUCCGGCCUCACUCAUCUCCUAUCUGCACAGCAGGAUGGCCUUUUAUUUUCUUUGAAUUUUUUUUCAUUUGGGGAAAUCACAGGGGUCAGCACAUCCAGAGUGCAAUGGAUAAGCCUCGCCCUGGGAAAACCACCUUCGUGAUCAUAGUAUCUCCCCUGCCAGAAAAGGAAGUGUGGACAUGGAAGGAGACCCCAGGGGUGCACGUGCACAGAGGGAUGACCGUGUGAGGAGGCAGUAGGAGGACAGCCGUCUGCAAGCAGGGACAGAAGCCUCAGGAGAAACCAACCUUGCUGGCACCUCGGUCUUAGAUGCCCAGAUUCCAGAACUGUUAGAAAAUAAAUUUCUAUUGUUGAAACCACCCAGCCUGUGGUAUUUUGCAAUGACAGUCCUGGCAAAAUAAUACAGUCCUUCAGAGGCACCUAUUCUUUCUGCCUUUAAUUUGCUUUGGCUUUGUUUUAUGUGUGGCCUUGUUUCAUUUGCUUGUAAAUGACUUGAGGGCGACAUCCAGGAAGGAGUAUCUUUUCCUGUGUCCCCACAGGGUGCAGUUCAAUGCCAGGCACAAAGUGCACAGAAUCAGACCUUUGUCCUCACUGCCAGCUUUGUCGACCUGCUGACAAGGGUCAGGGGGACCCAAGCUGCUAUCCACCCAGGGUGCUUUUCAAAAUUCAAGUCAUGGAAAUAAUUUAGGGAGCCACUUGAGUACUUUUUGGAAAUAAUGAGACAGAAGAGCAGAUAAUAGAAAAUGCCAGCGUGUUUCUCAGGCAGUAAAAGUGUUACUUCAUGCAACUUUGUUUGAUUUUACAUAUUUAUAAAUAAACAGAAUAAUUACAAAUUAUCCUAAGA
rnacentral:lncRNA from 1 species